GAUCCUGGCUCAGAAUCAACGCUGGCGGCGUGCCUAACACAUGCAAGUCGAACGCGAAAGUGGAGCAAUCCAUGAGUAGAGUGGCAAACGGGUGAGUAACGCGUGGGUGACCUACCUUCGAAUGGGGGAUAACGUCCCGAAAGGGACGCUAAUACCGCAUAACAUCCUGCCUUUGAACAGGUGGAGAUCAAAGCCGGGGAUCGCAAGACCUGGCGUUUGGAGAGGGGCCCGCGUCUGAUUAGCUAGUUGGUGAGGUAACGGCCCACCAAGGCGACGAUCAGUAUCCGGCCUGAGAGGGCGGACGGACACACUGGGACUGAGACACGGCCCAGACUCCUACGGGAGGCAGCAG
rnacentral:rRNA from 1 species